AACAAGUAAAGAGAUUGCAUAGCUCAAAGAGAAAAGGAUGAGAAGGAUUUACGUACAUACAAUGUAUUGUUAAUACUCUAACUAUUACUAGAGAUUGACCCGUGCACAUGCGCGGGUAUUAGUUCUUACAUUUUUAUACAUUGAUAUUUUUUAUAAUUAAUGUUAUAUAUUUUAGAUGGAUCGUAAUAUAACUAAUUGUAUUCAAAAAAACCUGGACCGAAUCUGGUAAUAUGGUUAUUUUUAGCAUCUUUAUGAACAUGAGAAACAUUACCAGAGAAAUCAUCAGCAUGUUUCUGUUGAAAAAAACCAGUCUUUUCCAUUAUUUUCAUAAUCUCAGACACCAUUGCUUCCAUCUGCAAUUUAUUAAAAGUCACAAUUGGUGCCUCCUUUCUUUUACUGAUAUCUCCAGCUGACAUCUCCAGCCAUGGUUUCCUGUUACAAUCUCAACAAGAAAAGUUAGCCCAUAUUUGAAUAGCCAAAGCCUCACAAUUUCUCAAGUGUUUCUCUUUUGUAUCUUUCAGUGAGUUUUCUCUGUGAAUCCAAUAGCUCAGCAAAAAACAAAGAUCAAACUUCAGAAAACAAACCCCAACCCCAAAACAGAAGAAAGAGAUAGACAUAUUGCAAGAUUUUUGUUUGCAACAGACAUUACCACCAGAGCUGGAUUUCUCUUCAGCCAGUUGGAUUUUUCUUUAACUUUUCUUUUUAAUUUUAAUUUUUUUAAAUCUGGUUGGCCCGCUUGCAGAUACAACAGAUAGAAGUUUUUAGGGGGGAGGAGGGUUUUGGUGGAGAAGAUGAAUGGUAUUGAGGUGAAUUUGGAAGGAGUGAAGUAUAAUCUGAGUGUGGUGCUUCCGAUGAUUUCGAGGGGUUGAAGAAAGAAUGGGAGGAGUUUUAUUAUGCUUUUGGUAAUCUCAGAGGACAUCCAAGGGAAGGAAGGAGUGAGGCUGAUACGAUGAUACCAAGAGUUUCAUCUAAGCUUUCUAUGUUGGUUUCACAUACAAUCUUCUCCACCUUUGGCAAAAUUAGAUGAGUACAGUGGAGACCUUGUAUCAGGUCUCUAUUGUAAGAUUGUUGUUCAGUUCGAGAAGUACAAUGACUUUGUGAAUGCUAUGAAGGCUUUCUGUGGUCGCUCAAUGAAAAAGGAAGGUACUCGGCUAAAAGCAGACUAUUAACUAACAUGGAACAAGGUUGGGUUCUUCUGGAACUCGAGGAGAACAUCGGAUCACAUGAUGGAUACAGAAAUGAGGCUGUUGGAUACAAUACGGAUGAUGUACGUCGAAAGACAUUCAGGGAGUAAAACACUAAGAUGAGGUCUAAGAACUUUGGAGGAGAUUCAUGACAGUGGAUUUGUAUUUUAGAUUAUCUUUUUGACGAUUUCUAAGCUCAUGAUCUGAUUUGUGUUCUUAUGCCGCCUUAUCAUCUUUUAUUUUAUGAUAAAAAUACAGCACACCGAUCUGGACCUGACUCCUCGAAUUUCUAAUUUUGGAAAUGUAUUGCCUUUGAAACAAUGAUGGAAGAGGCUUCUUUCUGUUAUAUCUAUCCAAGGUUUUGACUA